rnacentral:lncRNA from 1 species
AAAGAGAUAAUAGGGACAAGGAGAAGAAGUGGAGACAAGCAUUAGAAUAAGUUCGGCAAUGAAGAAAAGGGUGGCACCAUAGAUAAGGCCAACUAUGAAUAAAGAUGAAGGCAAUAGCAAGAAUUGAUAACCAUUGAUUAGAGUAAAGGCAACAGGAAGGACAAGAAUACAAAGGCAAUUGGAGGCAAGAGAGAAGAUGUAGCCUUACAAAUGAGCACAAAGGCGAUCCAUCAAACAGUCAUGAAAGAGGUCUUAAAGACAAGAAUAGAGGCAAGAACAAGGGCAAUUAAGAGUGACGACGUGGACAAUAAGGUUUAGGAUUUAGGAUUUAGGAUUACAAGAGUAUCUUAGAGAUUUUU